AAUCUUGUGACCGGCCGGGCGCUUUUCCAAUCAGAAAGACAGUUAAGAUCUCUAACAGAACGUGGAGUUGUUUGAAGACGAGGUAACAAGACCUGGACGCUUGGUGAAACCAAGCCUGUAUGAAAGGGACUGUGUGAGAAAUGACUAUCUCCCAGGCUUUGGGACACGUGUACCCUCUUCUGAGACCCCUGAGCUAAUCGGAGACCUGGGGGCUUCAGUGAGGUCCUCAUGGGGAAAAUGAAGUGGCCCUUCCCCUCUUUAUGACCCCGCCUGAGUGAGUGUGCUUCGGAAAUAAAGCCACACUGGGUAGAGCACAGUUACAAGAAGAUGUCUGCCAUAAUCACAAAGGGGAAGUGAUGGAUUUUGUAUUAGGGCAUGUAAAUGAGAUCACCAACACAUGAGCACGUAUAAAUCUCCUAUGUUGGGAGAAGAUGGGGACCAGGGUUUAUUGAUUACCUACCAUGUGGCAAACAUGAUUCCAGACAGCUCAUAUAUGUGGAAAGAGAUAAGGCCGUAAAGCUUUUACCUAAAAUGUUUGAUAUGUAGCAGGUUCUAUUAUGGCCUUUCUCAUGGAAUCGUCAAAACUACGCAGACAAUUAGGCAUCAGUAUCCUUACUGUGUACAAGUGGGUCACCUCUGGAUAAGAGAUGUUUAAGAACUUGGCCAUGGUCACACCCAGGAAAAGGCAGAGAGGCCUUUCUGAUUCCAUAGCUCCUCUCCCGGGGCUUCUGUCUUUGUUUUCUUCAGUUCUGUCACUGUUUACCUGUGACGGGCCUCGCCAACUGGUUUUGCCAUAUCCCACGGACAGUGAUGGUGGAUGUUGUUCCAGGGGCCAGACCCACAGAGCAGUGCAUGCAUCCUUGGUUGUUCUGGUGGAACAACCACACAGUGGGCAUUAUAGUUAUAUCCAAACAUCCAAAGCAUGCUUUAAAAUGAAUGACCUUUAUUCCCAUUUUUGGUGUGUGGGCAGCAAUGGGCUCCCACCCUGUGUCUGCUCAUGUUUGUGCUUCCGUACCCCAUCAGACCUCACUUAAGAGCAGGAGUUCAAAGAUAAAAUGAUUAAGAACUCAGGAUGGCAACAGCAGAGCCUGAAAUAAGCGGGGGCCUUCCCGAGCGUCCGCCCCCUGUGACUUCACAGGCUUUCGCCCACAGACCCGGCUCUCUGACUCUCGGCAGCUCAUGGGGGUUCACGGCGCCAACACGGGGGCCUUGCUCACUAUUAUUUGUCCCCACCACGCAGUGCUCUUGGCACCUGGUAGAUAUGCUGUAGAUGUCUGAUGUUGUUAACUAUGUUGUCCCAGGGAACGGACUCUUAGCUCUAUUUUAAAGAGCUUCUUGGAUUAAAACCACUUUUUUAGUGGUUAUUCUAUGAUUCUAUAUUGAGAAGUAACCAGAGAAUCACAGAAGUCUGAAGCUGGAAGGAAUUUUCUGUCUGGUGGUUUUCAAGCUUAUUUUUGUUUGAUAUUUUCUGUGAGCCACGGAGACAGUCCUUCGAGGCGCAGUUCGAAGGAGGCAGUUUGUAGGUGACGCAGAGAGCCCCCCAGCCCUCCCCUUCCCUGAAACACAAUUUGAAAACCAAUGAUCUGGUCCAAAGUGCUUAUCUAAAAUCUUUAUUUAUUUGCUGCCCUCUUAGGGAUCUUCAAAAAUGACAAUUUCAAAUGAAAACAAGCAAAAAAAGUAUUAUCCUAGGGUUUUAAAAGCAUGGCAGGAUACAUAGUAGGUGUUUGCACAUGACGUAUUCAUCUGCCCAAAUCUCAAGAAUUGGAAACUAACUGUGUAGGCGUGAGUGUGACCUUGGGCUCCAGGAGGAUGGUUAGAUUCGACACCAUCUGACCUCCCAGUGGCGACAGUGGGAAGCACAUGGGUAAGGACAGCGCAGGGAGACCUGGCGGUCCCAGUGAACAAGGACUGUGCCUUCUACCUGCGUUCAUGGGUUCAUGGCUCUGCCCUACCUCCCUUCCCUCUCUCCAUGCUGCUUCCCUUGCUUUAUGGGGCUCCUGUGAUCACCAUCACUUGCCUGUUAAAUGAGAUCAGGUCAGUUUCCGCAUGUUCAUGACUCUGCAGACUUGCCAAAUCACUACCAGAGAGUUGGCAUCGUGGGGCAUUCUGUUGUUUUUCAGGUGUUAUAUUGUCAUGUGAUAUCCCAUUGCUUUUAUAACUUUAUGGAUCCAUUCAUGCCACAGUGUGUGAGCACUUCCUGGGUGUGUUGUGGUCUACUUGAUAUCAGGAGAGUUGCAAAGCCCUGGAGGAACAGCUGCAAAAUAGACUUCAAGGGAAUUUUACUACUUCCUUUUUCUCCGAUUGAAAAAAAGAGAGAGAAAAAAAUGGGACUAUGUCUUCGCUCCAGCUCCCAAGGCUCCCAUGAGCACUGAAGGAGAAGAUCGCCAAUGUGGGGCUAAUUCUUUUACUUAAGAGAAGUAAGAGGUGCUCUACUGACAAUUUUCUGGUCAGACGUUUGAAGUGGGCUGCCGGCCCCUGCAGGUCUGGGUCUUGGCGCCCUGCACUCUGCCCCACUUAACCAGUGUGGGGUCAGAGAGAGCCUAAGCAGGGGAGGUACCUGUGGAGGCUCAACCCUGGCCAUGGGGCUUCGUCAGCUUUUCCCCACCACCGUCCUGUCUCUGGCCUAUCUGUAGCAGAAGUGAAACAAACCCAGGAAGACGCAAAAUUGCAUCGAUUCAAACUGUCAUCAACCAAAUUCUGUUCAGCGGAUUUGAAUCUCCUAUGAGCUUAAGGAUCAACACGAUUCAGUUCUAUCAGGAAAAAUACAUAACAUUUAUCAGAAUUGGUUAUCAGAAAUCGUUUAAUACCCUGAUCAGAAACUCAGGGAUUUACUUAUGAAUGAGUUUAGAAGCUGACUGUUUUAUGUAACCAUCAAAAAUUACAAUAUAAUUAUUGUUUCAAAAUUC